rnacentral:rRNA from 1 species
GUGAGGAAUUUUGCGCAAUGGGGGCAACCCUGACGCAGCGACGCCGCGUGGAGGACGAAGUCUUUCGGGAUGUAAACUCCUGUCAGUGGGGACGAUAAUGACGGUACCCACAGAGGAAGCACCGGCUAACUCCGUGCCAGCAGCCGCGGUAAGACGGAGGGUGCAAGCGUGGUUCGGAAUUACUGGGCGUAAAGCGGAUGUAGGCGGCAAGUUAAGUUCAAUGUUAAAGCCCACGGCUCAACCGAGGAGAUGCAUUGAAUACGGGCUAGCUAGAGGGUGUUAGAGGAAGACGGAAUUCCCAGUGUAGCGGUGAAAUGCGUAGAUAUUGGGAGGAACAUCGGUAGCGAGCGCGGUCUUCUGGGACAUACCUGACGCUGAGGUACGAAAGCGUGGGGAGCAAACGGGAUUAGACACCCCUGUAGUCC